rnacentral:lncRNA from 1 species
UUUUUUUUUUUUUUUUUUUUUUUGUAUUUUUUAGUAGAGAUGGAGUUUCACCAGGUUAGCCAAGAUGGUCUUGAUCUCCUGACCUCGUGAUCCACCCGUCUCGGCCUCCCAAUGUGCUGGGAUAGUAUUUCUUUAAUUGAGCUGUGAAGGUGAUGACUGCUUUUCUCUUCAUUUCAUCUUCACGGAAGUCAGAUCCUUUCACCAAUAUUUGAGGCUGGGGCUUAUUUCCUUCAGCACUGCGAGGACAGCACUAUCCCUUGUCCACUGACAUAUGUUGUCUGUACUGAGACAGGGCUUCCAAACCUUUAAAGAACCUGUUUUUUCUUUGGCAUCCUUUAAAUUUUCCCAUGUGCCUUUGGUUUUCAGCACUUUAUGAUAUAUGUAAGUGCGGAUUUAUUUUUUAACUUACAGAGUUUGGAAGUUUCUUGAAUUAGUGGCUUCAAGCCUUCCAAUUCUCUGCAUUAUCUCUUCAAACUUGUUUUUGCCACAUUCUCUUGCUUUCUGGGACUCCAAUUACACGAUGUGUUUGAUCAUCUCACUGUAACCUCUAUAUUUCUUAGCACCUCUUUUCUAUUUUCUGCUGUUUUCAUUAUCCUUAUUUUACUUUAGUUUCUUUAGAGCUACCUAUUUAGCUUGCUGAUUCUCUCUCUGGCAGUGUACAAACCAUCCUCUGAUGUCUUAAUUUUAACUAAUGUAUUUUUCAGUUCUACAACUUCCAUUUAGCUCCUUUUUUUCUUUGGCAUAGUUUCUAAUUCUUUGACAAAAAUUUCAAUCUAGUCAUUUGUCUCUUUUAAUGCAGUAGGCAAACUUAAUUCUCAGUCUGGUAACUCCACCAUCAGGAACCUCUGCUGGCAUGCUCUGUUACUGCUGUUUGGAUCUUAAUAGCUUUAUUUAGGUGUAAUUGCUGCAAUAAGUUGCACAUAUCUAAGUUUUGACACAGGCAUAUAACAUUCUUUCUUGUGUUCAUUCAGCAUAAUUAUUCUGAAAAUCAUCCAUGCUGCAAUGGGUACCAACAAUUGAUUCCUUUUUACUGCAGAGUAGCAUUAUAGUGUAUGAAUAAACCACAAAGUGUUUCACAAAGGCAGGUGGAAAAAUUCAAAGAAUGUUAGAGAAAAAACAGGUUCUUUAAAGGUUUGGAAGAUUCUGCCACAGUACAGACAACAUAUGCCGGUAGACAAGGAAUAGUGCUGUCCUCACAGUGCUGAAGAAAAUAAGCCCCAGCCUCAAAUCCUGGGGAAAGGAUCUGAUUUCAAUGAAGAUGAAAUUAACACAAAAGCAUUCAUCAGCUGCACAUUUCAACUCAAGAAACAUGGAGGAUGGACACCUGAGCCGUUUCCAGGUCUUGGCUAUUAUCAAUAAUGCUGCUAUGCACAUUCCUUU